GACGUAGGGCGCGAGCGUUGUCCGGAUUUACUGGGCGUAAAGCGCGCGCAGGCGGCAUGUCAAGUAAGGUGUGAAAUCUCCCUGCUCAACGGGGAGGGUGCAUUUUAGACUGGCAAGCUAGAGGACGGUAGAGGGGGGUAGAAUUGCUGGUGUAGCGGUGAAAUGCGUAGAGAUCAGCAGGAAUACCCGUGGCGAAGGCGGCCCCCUGGGCCGAACCUGACGCUGAGGCGCGAAGGCUAGGGGAGCGAACGGG
rnacentral:rRNA from 1 species